CCUACGGGAGGCAGCAGUGGGGAAUAUUGGACAAUGGGGGCAACCCUGAUCCAGCCAUGCCGCGUGUGUGAAGAAGGCCCUCGGGUUGUAAAGCACUUUCAGUGAGGAAGAACGCCUGGUGGUUAAUACCCAUCAGGAAAGACAUCACUCACAGAAGAAGCACCGGCUAACUCCGUGCCAGCAGCCGCGGUAAUACGGAGGGUGCGAGCGUUAAUCGGAAUUACUGGGCGUAAAGCGCGCGUAGGUGGCUUGAUAAGCCGGUUGUGAAAGCCCCGGGCUCUACCUGGGAACGGCAUCCGGAACUGUCAAGCUAGAGUGCAGGAGAGGAAGGUAGAAUUCCCGGUGUAGCGGUGAAAUGCGUAGAGAUCGGGAGGAAUACCAGUGGCGAAGGCGGCCUUCUGGACUGACACUGACACUGAGGUGCGAAAGCGUGGGUAGCAAACAGGAUUAGAUACCCUAGUAGUC
rnacentral:rRNA from 1 species